rnacentral:rRNA from 1 species
UACGUAGGGUGCAAGCGUUGUCCGGAAUUAUUGGGCGUAAAGAGCUCGUAGGCGGUCUGUCGCGUCUGCUGUGAAAAUCAGGCUCAACCCUGGACCUGCAGUGGGUACGGGCAGACUUGAAUACGGGAGAGGGUAGUGGAAUUCCUGGUGUAGGAGUGAAAUCCGUAGAUAUCAGGAGGAACACCGGUGGCGAAGGCGGCUACCUGGACCGACUAUUGACGCUGAGACGCGAAAGCGUGGGUAGCAAACAGG